ensembl:lncRNA
AAGAGCAACCAAAUUGUUUUAAGACCAAAACAAUAUUCCUGAAAUGUGAGGUAUGUAAAACUAACAUUCUGAUAGUCAAGGAUCAACAGCAUUUCAGAGAUGGAAAUUACCACACCUUUGAGAUGAUCUGAUCCAACGCUCCUAACCUUAUAGAUGAGAAAACAACUAAAAACCGUAGAUCCAGUGCCACUUUGUAACAAACCUGCACAUCAAAAUAUGGAGAAACAAUCACGAUCCAGGUGAGGAAGCAGAACUUUAAAAUAGAAACCCACAUUUGAUUAUUGACACCUUAAGCUUUAUACAACUUAAAGAGCACAAAAUCGUUUUCUCAAGGCAAAUCAGAGAGACGUUUAGACAAUUUACUACACUAAUUAGCUCAAAUUGAUCAUUUUUACCCUGAAGAAAUCAUAUUAUUCUGGCUAAUGCGGGAAGAAAACACCUAGCUAACUUUCUAGAAUUCACCAAAUUUCCCAUUAGAUACUUAAAGUGCACUUCAAACCUGAGUUUUGAGAAAUGAAAUAUAGCUAACAGUUUUCUUCACUAAUCACUUAGGGUGGUAAACAUCUGGAACGAUAUUUUUCAAUCAGUCACAGCCCACUAUUGGGUCCUGAAAUACACUGAUGUUUAAUAACUAGCAUUUUAAAAAGAAGAGAAAAAAAGACAGGAGGAGGGAAGGAGGAAGGAAAGAAGAAAGGAAGGGAGGGAAGGAGGGAGGAAGGAAAGGAGGUCCCAUUGUGGUUCAGCAUUAACGACUCCGACUAGAAUCCAUGAGGAUGCGGGUUCGAUACCUGGCCUGGCUCAGUGGGUUAAGGAUCCGACGUUGCGGUGAGCUGUGGUGUAGGUCAGAGGCGAGGCUCGGAUCGGGCAUUGCUGAGGUGUAGGCUGACAGCUGCAGCUCUGCUUUGACCCCUAGCCUGGGAAUGUCCAUAUGCCACAUGUGCAGAUCUAAAAAGGAGGGAGAAAGGAAGGAAAGAAGGCAGGCAGGCAGGAAGAAAAAGCAAAUAGAAAAUGUCAGUAGUUCCCAUUGUGGCUUAGCAGGUUAAGCACCUGAGUAGCAUCUAUGAGGAUGCGGGUUCAAUCCCCGGCCUCACCCAGUGGCUUGAGGAUGCUAAUCUGGCGUGGCUGUGGCUGUGGCGUAGGCCAGCAGCUGAAGCUCUGAUUUGACCCCUAGCCUGAAAACUUCCACAUGCUGCAGGUGCAGCCCUAAAAAGCAAAGAGAAAGAAAAAGAAAAUAACAAAGAUGGGGUUUCCACUGUGGCUCAGCAGAAACAAACCCGAUAGUAUCCACAAGGAUGCGCGUUCAAUCCCUGGCCCUACUCAAUGGGUUAAAGAUCCAAUAUUGCCACGAGCUGCAGUGUAAACUCAGACCUGGCAUUACUCUGGCUGUAGUGUAGGCCGGCAGCUACAGCUCCCAAUUGACCCCUAGCCUGGGAAUCUCUAUGCUGCAGGAACAGCUUAGAAAAGAAAAUGAAAAAAGAAAAGAAAAUAUCAGAGAAAACUGUACCUAUAUUACUGGCAAGUUCCUGAAAACUGUUUCAAGUGUGUGUGUUCUUGUGCAUAGCAAAUUGCAAUGUAAAAUAUAUGGGGAGUUCCAAAUUGUGGCUCAGCAAUAAUGAACCCGACUAGGAUCCAUGGGGAUCCAUGAGGUCAGGGGUCCUAUCUCUGACCUCGAUCAGUGGGUUAAGGAUCCAGCAUUGCUGUGACCUGUGGUGUAGGGUGCAGAGGAGGUUUGGAUCUUGAGUUCCUGUGGCUGUGGCGCAGGCUGGCAGCCAUGGCGGCCAUAGCUCCAAUUUGACCCCUAGCCUAGGAACCUCCAUAUGCCAUGGGUGUGGCCCUAAAAAAUAUAUAUAUACAUCAAGGGGCACCUGAAAAUAUGCUAUUGCCAGUUGAAACACUCUUGGCAAUCUGUGGUCUCUUCAUCUAAAGUAUUUCAAUGACCUGUAAUUAUGGCUAUUUAGAUACUAAUUAUUUGUUAUUGUUGUUGUGUUAUGGCCUCACCAUGGCAUAUGGAAGUUCCCAGCUAGAGGUUGAAUUGGAACUGCAGCUGAGGUCCACAACGCCUCAGCCACAGCCACAGCCACACUGGAUCUGAGCUGCAUCUUGGACCUAUGACUAAGCUUGCCGCAACACCAGAUCCUCAAUCCACUGAUCAAGGCCAGGGAUUGAAGAUACUAGCUAUUUUAAAGUACGGCAAUGCAACUCUGUAACUAUCAGUUAUACUUCUUAGUGCCUAGACAGUAAUACAUUUUUUGAGACAAAACAAAGGGAUUUCCAGUUUGACCCAAGUCAUCCUGUGCUAAAUUAAAUGUUUUUUCUUCUUGUCCACAACAUUGCAGUCUCUUAAGUGCUAUCUCUAGUCUCAACAAUCCAAAAAGCUACUUUUCCAUAAUCUAGAGUAACAAGGUCGUGUUUUUAUCUAUCUUUGCAGCUAAGAACAAAAAAAUGUAAACAGAAGUAACACUUCACAGCAUGCUCAGUAACUUCAUUAUUAAGGUCAACUGACCAAAGUUUGCAAACUCUAAAUCUGGCUGUGCAGACUCUAAAUACACCCCAGAGGAGCACCAUUCACAUGGACUAUAUAAUGUAGCCGUGACAUGGAUGGUGUCCCAGAGAUACACGAUAUGGUGGCUUUGUUUUUUCAAUUUCAGAAAUAAAACCAUCCCUUUCUUCUCUCAAAAUUGUCUUCUUUAUUAACUUAAUUGUCCUGAAGUGAUUUAAAACACUAAAACACUUACCUGAGUUUAUAACUUUUAUUAAAUUAAAUCAACUCCAAUUUAUUCAUCUUAAUUUCCUCUAAUUGUAAUGUACUGAGUUUUACAGUAAGUGCUGGACCUUUUCAAAUGAAUGCCAUGGUUUUUCUGCUUUGGUCUUUUAAUAUGAUGAAUCAGUGAUAGAUUUUAAGUUUUGUUCCUGGGACAAAUCCUAUUUGAUCAUAUAUACAUAUUAAUACAUACUAGACUCAGCUAAUAUUCUGUUCAGCACUCUUGCAUCUAUAUGUGUAUGUAAAAUGAGCCCAUUAAUUUUCUUGCAGUGUCCUUUGGGUGGCUUUGGAAUCUAGUCAUUUUGGUCAGGGGGAAGUGUCCUGAAUUAUGAAAUGUAUGCAGUUAAAGCAAUGCCACUUAUCUAACACUCACGCUUCUUCCCACAAAAGCCUCACACUAUGCAGUGCUUUCUUUCGUACACCAAGGUGUAUAUUCAGGUCCUUCACAUAGUCUCCUUUUCCUUUCACAAAAUUGUCCUUUUCUCCAUCCACACCCCCCCCCCAGCUGACUUUAAAGUUGGUAGAGUGUGCUACUACCACAAGGAAGAGUAACACCCUGUGGUAGUGUCUCAUGAAAAGAACACACUGGCUUUGAGUUGGCCACAACUUCCAUCUGAAUUCCUGCUUCGCCUCAAUGCUUAGGUGAACUGGGCAAGUUACUAAUUUAUUUAGCUAUCUCACAUACUAAAUAGGGAUAAUAUGUACCUUUGCUUAAAGAGUUGUUUCAAGAUUUUGAAAAAUGUGUUACUUGGCGGAAUUGGCACACACAAAAAAAAGAGUUCCUUAGUAAGUGAUAGCUCUAUCGAGUUUCCAGUCAUUUUAUUUUUUCUAAAAUUGAAGGUUAAGAAAUUAACUCCUGCUGUUGGAGGUCCACAGUCUCUCAUCUACAGUUUAGAAAUUCAGAAAGUUCUGAAAAAACAAAGUUUUUUUCAUAAUGUAUAUGGUAGUAAAUAAACAUGAAGGGUAAAUAAGGGACUUCCUAGCAUUUUCCCCCCCAUUUUAUGGUCGCUCCUGCCGUAUAAGGAAGUUCCCAGGCCGGGGAUUGAAUCCGAGGGGCAGCUACAACCUAAGCCACAGCUGCCAACACGGCAUGAGAUCAUUUAACCCACUGUCUGGGAUCCAACUGCACCUCUGCAGUGACCCCAGGCACUAGAGUCGGAUUCUUAACCCACACGUCAGGAAUUUUGAGGAUUUGUUUUUUAAGUGUGAAAAUUUGGAAAUUUUACUAGAGUAUUACUGUGUUUGCUUAUAGGAGCACUACCCCCAGACUGGUGAUGAUACACUAUUUAUACAGCAUAGGCACUUCUUAAAAUUCUUGAAAAACCUGAACCUCCACAAAUACAGGCCCCCUAAUGGUUUCAAACUAGGGAUUGUGCACCGGUAGUGGACCAGUAAUAAUUCCAUGUGGAAUCAAAUACAAUAAUUGUAAAUCUAGUAAAGAGGAAAAUAGGUAAGACUCAUGCAGUCUAAAUCCAGCUUUACUAUUAUUUCUACACUUUAGCUCCUUGACUUCGAAGUCAUGACUAGUAAAUUGAAGGUUCUUUCUAAUUCAAAACAAAACACUUUUAAAAAUUGAGUUAAAAAAACUAUUUAAAAAUUUUUAGCUACAUAUAUUUCCCCUCAAAUAUAGAAAAUAUACUGCUUAAAAACCAGUGUACACAGAAUACACACUAUUUAGAGAUGACUAAAACAGCAUUUGACCAUCUUCACACUGAACACUAGGAGGAAGGCAAGAGGGAUACCACACAGGGAUACCACACAUAUAAAAUUGAAUACAGAAAAUAUGCCAGCAUUGUAUUCAGAAAAUCCGGUUCAAAUCUUGGCUCUGUUUAAUAGUUCCAUGAUCUUGAGUAACAUAUUAAGCUCAUUUUGUCAUCUACUAAAUGGGAAUUUUUUAAAAAUCUUCUAUUACCUAAUCAUAAUAAAGAUAAAAGCAAAAGCUUCUAGUAGACUCGACAUUUAUUCUUAUACUCUAAAAAGCAAACUUUAAACAUUGUCUUAUUCUAAUUUUCAGAUUAAAUACAUUUAUGUUGGAAAAUGUUGAAUACUUUAUAAAGUGCUGUUAUAAAAUUAACUCCCCCACUAUUCAGGUUUUGCAAGUUAUUAGGUGACUAUCUUUGAAGGUAAAAUCUACAGAAGAGUUUAUGCCUUUUGUGUGUGUGUCUUUUUAAGCCUGUACCCAAGGCAUACAGAAAUUCCCAGGCUAGGGGUCAAAUUGGAGCUGCAGCUGCCAACCCACGCCAAAGCCAUAGCAAGGCAGUAUGUGAGCUGCGUCUGCAACCUAUCCUACAGCUAAGGGCAACGCCUGAUUCUUAACUCACUGAGCAAGGCCAGGGAUCAAACCCACUACCUCUUGGAUACUAGUCUGGUUUGUUACCGCUGAGGCGCAAUGGGAACUCUGAGUUUAUGCCUUUUUAGAGGAAAGUGACACAUAAGUAAUAAAUCACUCUCUCUCACACACACACACACACACACACACACACACACACACACACACACAAUCUGGACAGAGAGUAAGAAGAGAUACAAGGAAUCAGGCCUCAUCUAAAACCACAUUUACUAGUAUACUAUUGUCUUCCUGUGUAUACUUGGUAUCAUAAAUUCCAAGCUAUCUUUAAUUUUCAGGUUUCUAAGUUUUCCCUUUCACUGAAGACUUUUUGAAACGAAUUUUCUGGUUAAGACAGAAUAUCAAUUUUUAAAAUCCAGACACAAUCCAAACAAAAUUCUCUUUGAAAAGAAAGCAAUUUGGAAUCUUGGGAAGGCUGUUAAUUCUCAACAUAAUUAUAAACAUACAAAACAAUUUUUAUAUCCAUCUGUAAGAGCCCAUGAUUUCACACCCAAACUUUCCAUGUUAAAGGUUCCUUGCCAUCUCAAGUACUAAACAAAAGAAGACAUCGAGUGCACUUAUGUUAUUAAGAAAAAGCAAACAGCUUGAUCUCAGUGACUUGGACCAUUUUCAAUUAGGGAAGAGGAUCUCUGGAGAAUAUACCAAACUGAAUUGCAAAAAACUUGGUUUCUAAUCUGGGCAAGUCAGUAAAUCUCUGAGCUUUCUUUCUCAUCUUUUACAACUAAUAGCAUUUUCCUUCCUACUUCACAAGGAUAAGGGUCAUGAAAACACGUUGGAAAGUUAAAAGUGCCAUAUGCUACAAUGACAUCAAUACUUAUCUGGCAGAAGGAAAGUGAUUAUGCGGAAAGUGGGGAGGAUAAGGAUAAGCAGGACUAGAAAGAAAUCUAAGUUCUAGGCUGAAUCUUGGCACCUACUAGUGUGUGAUGCAAGGCACUUCGCUUGUCCAGAUCCCCACAUAAGGUCACUUGUAAAGGAAUUUGCCUCUAUUUCUUUCUGGCUACUAGACCAUAAUUUUAUGCUAUAAAUUUGAAUCCAAGUCCUAUAUAACAUUUGAGCUCUCAUUGAUCUAUGAGGCAGGUACCAUAAAAGGCGAAGACAGCAAUAGAGUAUGAACAAAACUACUUAGCCAGGUGUUGCAUUCAGGUCUGUGGAAAACCCUGUUGUAACUGACCAGUUCAUCAUUCCAUUCAUCUGGAAACUGGUGUCAAGCAGCCAUUUAGUACAUUUCUAAAUCUUCUUUAAAUACUUAGGUUAAUAUUAAAAUGAAAAUGAAUAAUAGUUACAGUAAAAAUUAAAACUAGAAAACCCUCAAAACUAUACACAGGCCUAAGGGCAGAAAUAUAUCCCAAAAGAAGAUGUAAGGACACAGGUAUUUUCCAACAUGUGCUUUUUUGUUUUAUUCUUUUUUUGGGGGGGAGGAGCCCAAGGCAUGUGGAAGCUCCUGGGUCAGGAUCAAACCCGAGCCAGAGCAGUGACAAUGCCUGAUUGGAUCCGUAACCACCAGGGAACUCCACUGUUUUGUUUUUAAAUAAGGUUGAUCAUUCUGAUACUAGGUCAACAUCUAUCUUUUUUUGUUAAAUUCCCUCAAGCACACAGAUUCUUCAAUUACACCUUGAAACAAAAGUACUUUCCUAAGACAGAAUUUUUUUUAUUGCAAAAUUUAACAAACCACCAAACUCAAGUUUAAUUAUUUCUGCUUUAUUAUUGGUCAAGAGUAUGUUAGUUAGACUUUUAAAAAAUUGUUACAAGAGACUUCAUCACUAAAAUAUAUAAUCAGAAACCAAGUUGCUUUGAAAUUAAUAAUCUGAAAAGUGACCCCCAAAAGCCCACGAUAUAUUAACUUCAUUCUUCAACUGGGGCAAAUAGUUAAAAUUACUUUUAAUACACUGAGCAAGAAAAAACUGUGCACAAAUUCCAAUGCCUUCAGAAAAACUGAGAGUGUGCUUAAUAUAUUUAUCCCCACCUGCUGAUAUUAAAAAUCCAAGUUUUCAAGAAAAAAAAAGUUCUGUUCGUUUUCCCACAUCUAAAUCUGGAAACACAAACCCAGGCAGAUGAGUAAGAGAGUUACAAAAAAAAAUUAAGUCACCAAAACCUAGUGAACUGCAGUUAAAAGGUCCAAUUAUUUAAAAUAGUCCAAUUUCACCACAGAGUAUUUUACUUUCAGAAGACAGAAGAUCCAAUCCAGAUGAAAAUCUUUAUUAUAUUGUCUAUUUGUCCUGAGCCUUAAGAAAAUCUCUACAUAAUUUGAUGGGAUACAGUGGUCAAUUAGAAUGCCCCAAAAAUAUUCAUACCAUAAUCUGAAAUAUCUAUUCCGAUUCCGUGCCCAAAAGUCGGCAAAACUCUUCCGAGUGGUGAUGUUGAAUUAACGGAGAUUCGGGUUGAAAUUAGGAGGCAGAAAAGCAGUCAGGUAGUAGUUAGCACCCUCCUCACGCCCACCCCCGAGCGUAGGAGUAGGCAGCCCAUACUACCACCAGCUGGAGAUGGAUGAUCUAGUCUGGAAACAGAAUGGUGUGGAACAAAACCCUUUCCGGGGUUCCAAACCUCCCUUUAGAGCUCUAGGUCAAAAUACUUCCGUUUUUCACAAAACUUGGAAUGAAGUACGGGAAGCAACAACUGUUAAAACAUUAAAAAACUAACCCUUUACCUAUUUAUCCAGAAAACGCUAUGCGAAGUAGCCAAUAUCUCACGCUGAAAGCAUCAAGCAUAUUACAUUAAAAAAAAAAAAAAACAUUUAUUUGCAACAGGCCUCAACAGAUUGGACUAAGCCACACCCCUCCAUAAAUGGCACAUUCCAUACAACAGCCAGGAGUAGACGGCAAAGGGCGAUUCCACCGUCCGCUGGGGGAACAACAAACUUGUUGAAAUUCUCAGAAUAAAGUCUAACGAUUAACCGAAAUCUAGCCCCUUUAUCAUUAAAGUUAUCCGGGAUAAAGAUUAGGUUACAAAAACAUCCGAGACGUGUAGACUGCUAAGAGGAGAGAAAGAGGUAGCGGGAAGGAGAACCACCCGGGAUUUGGGUCGAGCAGUUAACCCGCACCUCCCUGAGUAGGGGACAUUUCCCCGAGGAAGGACAUUCCUAGCCGGAGAGAAAAGCGAACUCGGGGUGUGGGGGAAGGGAGUUAACCCACUCAAAACUCCGACUUGGGCGAGAGGCUGCAGUCAUUUUCCAGGGCCUAGUCCGGAACUCUCACUUUGGCUGGAGGGGAAAAGAACGGGUCCCGCCCACGCUCGGCCCGAUCCGGGAGGCGGGGCCCUGCUGCGACCCUGGAGGACGGAGGCGGG